rnacentral:rRNA from 1 species
GAACGCUGGCGGCAUGCUUUACACAUGCAAGUCGAACGGUAACAGGCCUUCGGGCGCUGACGAGUGGCGAACGGGUGAGUAAUGCAUCGGAACGUGCCCAGAGGUGGGGGAUAACGCAGCGAAAGCUGUGCUAAUACCGCAUACGAUCUACGGAUGAAAGCGGGGGACUCGCAAGGGCCUCGCGCGUUUGGAGCGGCCGAUGGCAGAUUAGGUAGUUGGUGGGGUAAAGGCUUACCAAGCCUGCGAUCUGUAGCUGGUCUGAGAGGAUGAUCAGCCACACUGGGACUGAGACACGGCCCAGACUCCUACGGGAGGCAGCAGUGGGGAAUUUUGGACAAUGGGCGCAAGCCUGAUCCAGCCAUUCCGCGUGCAGGACGAAGGCCUUCGGGUUGUAAACUGCUUUUGUACGGAACGAAAAGGUCUUCUCUAAUACAGAGGGCCCAUGACGGUACCGUAAGAAUAAGCACCGGCUAACUACGUG